GAAAUGCGAUAAGUAAUGUGAAUUGCAGAAUUCAGUGAAUCAUCGAAUCUUUGAACGCACAUUGCGCCCGCCAGUAUUCUGGCGGGCAUGCCUGUUCGAGCGUCAUUUCAACCAUCAAGCCCCCGGCUUGUGUUGGGGACCUGCGGCUGCCCGCAGGCCCUGAAAAACAGUGGCGGGCUCGCUGUCACACCGAGCGUAGUAGCAUACAUUCUCGCUCAGGGCGUGCUGCGGGUUCCGGCCGUUAUACGACCUUCAUAACCCAAGGUUGACCUCGGAUCAGGUAGGAAGACCCGCUGAACUUAAGC
rnacentral:misc_RNA from 1 species